CAAUAGCGUAUAUUAAAGUUGUUGCAGUUAAAAAGCUCGUAGUUGGAUCUAGAGACGCAAGGAGGGCAUGGUCCGUCGGAAGACCCGAACGAGCACCGGCCCGCCCGUCUCCUCCUUCCGGCCUCCCGUCUCUUCUAUUAACUUAGCGGAGAUGAAAGGCAUGAUUCCCCUUCGGGUGGGAUCUUGCUGGGGACCCGGAUCAUUUACUUUGAAAAAAUUAGAGUGUUCAAAGCAGGCGAAUAUAUUCCGCCGUCGAAUACUGCAGCAUGGGAUAAUAGAAUAGGACCGCGUUUCCGUUCUGUCGGUUCGGGAAACGAGGUAAUGAUUAAUAGGGACAGUCGGGGGCAUUAGUAUUUAAUUGUCAGAGGUGAAAUUCUUGGAUUUAUGAAAGACUAACUUCAGCGAAANCANNNGCCAAGGAUGUUUUCAUNAA
rnacentral:rRNA from 1 species